AGAAUGACACAGAGGAUCCAGUGACGUGGUUGAAUAAUUGUUUGAUGAAUUUUCAGAACAGAUAUGGUGAAGAUAUAAUUCUUGCACUAAAAGUUUGAGAGGUAUAUACUAAAUCUCAAGAGUGGAGUGCGAAGGCGAGUGUAUUUGCAACAUGUUCAGAAAGUGUAAAGAAGGGACAGAAAGAAACAGCAUGUGAAAAACAUCUGAUAGCAAGUGAAAGACUAUCCAUUCAUCUGAAAACUUGUCAUUGGCUAAUCAUAAAAAGCCAUUAUGGUUUGGGUGAUGCUUUACAGCAUCAGAUGGGAGAAUGUGAAAGGUGAAAAGUACAGAGAAGGGAAAUCUUACUACAUGCAUUUCACUUCUAAUAUGCUUUCAUAAGCCAAAUGAAAUAUUGAAUGUUCUUCAGUAAGUAUCUGUUGAUUAGCUUCCUGUCUAAUAUUAGAAUGUGCAGACAGGAUUAGAAAAGUAUAACAUUUGUUCUGAGUAGAAACGUCUAUUAUGGAAUUCAGAAUCCGUGCCUAAUAUGGAAUGUCAUAAAAAGAGAUCUUAGUUAGCAAAAUGAAUGCUGUAGUGCUCAUUUUACUUAGUUGAUGGUUGUUCUAUGUUUGUUAAAACAAUAUUGCUUUUAAUGAAAAAUGUAAUUCGGAGAGACAGGGCCUUGAUUUCCUAGUCUGCUACAUAUGUGUUUCUCUGUGAAAUAAAGGAAAUUGUUAUUCUCUGCUGAA